rnacentral:rRNA from 1 species
AAUAUUGCACAAUGGGGGAACCCUUAUGCCGCGACGCCGCCUUAGGGAAGAAGGCCCNNNGGGCGNUAAGGCCUGUCCUACGGNGAANAACGGACGGGACCUUAGGAGGAAACCCCGGCCAACUACCGUCCAGCAGCCGCGGUAAUACGUAGGGGGCGAGCGUUAUCCGGAAUUACUGGGCGUAAAGGGUGCGUAGGCGGUCUUUUAAGUCAGAUGUGAAAGGCUACGGCUUAACCGUAGUUAGCAUUUGAAACUAAAAGGCUUGAGUGCAGGAGAGGAGAGUGGAAUUCCUAGUGUAGCGGUGAAAUGCGUAGAUAUUAGGAGGAACACCAGUGGCGAAGGCGACUCUCUGGACUGCAACUGACGCUGAGGCACGAAAGCGUGGGUAGCGAACAGG